CUGUUUCAAUUUGCUGAGGGCAUAUAAAAUGAAUAUGGGUAUCGAUUCCGCCUGCCGUAACAAUCAUUCCUUCUGCCGCAACGAUUUCGGUUGAAGCUCCGAUUACCAUUGUGACGCCAUCCAUUAAUAAUGGAUUUCCCGCCUUUCCGAUCGCGGCAAUUUUCCCAUCCUUUAUGCCGAUAUCCGCUUUAUAAAUACCUGUAUAAUCAAUAAUAAUGGCGUUUGUGAGAACAAGAUCCAUCACGUCUUUCCUUUCGGCAAAUGGAUGCUGUCCCAUUCCGUCGCGA
rnacentral:sRNA from 1 species